rnacentral:rRNA from 1 species
GACGAACGCUGGUGGCGUGCUUAACACAUGCAAGUCGAACGGAAAGGCCCUGCUUUUGUGGGGUGCUCGAGUGGCGAACGGGUGAGUAACACGUGAGUAACCUGCCCUUGACUUUGGGAUAACUUCAGGAAACUGGGGCUAAUACCGGAUAGGAGCUCCUGCUGCAUGGUGGGGGUUGGAAAGUUUCGGCGGUUGGGGAUGGACUCGCGGCUUAUCAGCUUGUUGGUGGGGUAGUGGCUUACCAAGGCUUUGACGGGUAGCCGGCCUGAGAGGGUGACCGGCCACAUUGGGUCUGAGAUACGGCCCAGACUCCUAUGGGAGGCAGCAGUGGGGAAUAUUGCACAAUGGGCGGAAGCCUGAUGCAGCAACGCCGCGUGCGGGAUGACGGCCUUCGGGUUGUAAACCGCUUUCGCCUGUGACGAAGCGUGAGUGACGGUAAUGGGUAAAGAAGCACCGGCUAACUACGUG